CUCAGGUGUGAGCACUCAGGAUUUGUUGGCAGUCUGGGUGCGAGAAUAGUCCAGAAGUCUUUCAAAUAGAUUUUUAAAAAUAUUUUGGGAUUGUGCAUAUUUAUUUUGUCAACGACCAAGUGGUCAAGAGCUGGCCCUGAACUCGAAGCAGUGUAAAUUCAGAUGCAUAUCCCAGAUUAAACCAAGGAAUCCUCUUUUAAAGAAGCAUUCUCUACGCCCUGACUGGUUAGUCUUCUCUACAUUCUGAUACUACUACCCUGGUGUGACCUGAGGCUCAGCCGACGUCAUGGCUAUCUCUCCUACCGUAACCCUCCACCUGGACGAUGGUGUGGUGCGUGGCCUGGACCUGCAGUCUUGUGCUGUCCAGCUGUGUAAAGGACAUGGUCACUGUGUGGCUCAGGGACAGGUCACCACCUGUGAGUGUAUCCUGGGGUACAGAGGAGAGUUCUGCCAUGAGAGUGUCAAUGAGGCAAUCGGUGUUCCGCUCACCCUGGGGGUAGUGGCCUUUAUCGUUGGCAUCCUCAUCCUCUCCUUCCUCAUUGCAUUCAUCAGGCAGAGGGUCAAGGUCAAAAGGAAAGCUGCAGCCAAGGAUUCAAGUGGUUUAGAAAAAGACAUUCUGUAGCAUCAAGGUUUGGUUGACGGUCCAACAUCAGAGCACAUCCCCUUCAUCAGGCUUUAUCCCCGCUGAUCCAGUCUCUCCCUCUAGAGGUUGGUUACAACAUAAUGGAAGCCUGUCCAGUCAUGGACCUUCGGAUCAUACAACCGCCUUGUUAAUUCCAUGUGGAUAAAAUGCUAUUAUGUUCUUGAAUAAUUAUUAUAGACGCAUUGCAAACAAAAUAUUUUAUCAAUUGUAUUUUUUAAGCUUUGUUCUUGUAUCUGAAUGUUGGAUAUGCUUAAACCUGGGCAAAUUCACAUUAAAACACUGUUUACUUCUGUGUGAUCAAUGUCUCUUAGUGGUAUCCUUUUAAACGGAUUGUUUAUCACAUUUGUAGAACUAACCUGUAGAUCACUAGGCCUAGUUUUUUUACCUGUUUAUGACAUCCAUGUACUUGGCCAACAAAACAACUUGUUAGCAUUCCUAGAGUAGAAAGCAGGGUUUGGAACCAAAUUAUUUUACAAUCGUUUUGUUCAACUCUUCUGACCAGCAAAAUAAAGUUCUGAACUGGUUUGAAGCAACAACAAAACAUGUACCAGUAUAUAUUCCUUUUUAUAACCUGUCAAAUAAACUUCUUUUAAAAACAUUUAACCUAUUAAAUGACUUCACUGAUCAGUGCGGAUAGAGCAGUUAAGAUUGUUCAAAUGUGUGAUGGACAGACAAGUGCACCAGAAGGGCACCGGCAUUAAAAACAAUUCUUACC
ensembl:lncRNA